AAUAAGAUGCCUGACUAAAGGAUUAUUAUGAUAUAAUAAAUAAAGUAAUGCUAAACAUUUUACUCUUAUUG
rnacentral:tRNA from 1 species